rnacentral:rRNA from 1 species
ACGGCUCAGUAACACGUGGACAACCUACCCUUAGGCCUGGGAUAAACCUGGGAAACUGGGUAUAAUACCGGAUAGGUCUCGAAUGCUGGAAUGCAUCGAGGCUUAAAGCUCCGGCGCCUAAGGAUGGGUCUGCGGCCUAUCAGGGUAGUAGUGGGUGUAAUGUACCUACUAGCCUACGACGGGUACGGGUCGUGAGAGCGAGAGCCCGGAGAUGGAUUCUGAGACACGAAUCCAGGCCCUACGGGGUGCAGCAGGCGCGAAAACUUUACAAUGCUGGAAACAGCGAUAGGGGGACUUUGAGUGCCAGGAUACAAUCUUGGCUGUCGUCGUGCCUAAAAAGCACGGCAUAGCAAGGGCCGGGCAAGACCGGUGCCAGCCGCCGCGGUAACACCGGCGGCUCGAGUGGUAACCGCUAUUAUUGGGUCUAAAGGGUCUGUAGCCGGCUGGAUAAGUCUCUUGGGAAAUCCGACAGCUUAACUGUCGGGCUGUCAGGAGAUACUGUCCGGCUCGAGACCGGGAGAGGUGAGAGGUACUUCAUGGGUAGGGGUGAAAUCUUGUAAUCCUUGAAGGACCACCAGUGGCGAGGGCGUCUCACCAGAACGGAUCUGACGGCAAGGGACGAAAGCUAGGGGCACGAACCGGAUUAGAUACCCGGGUAGUCCUAGCCGUAAACGAUACUCGCUAGGUGUCGGCCACGGUGCGACCGUGGUCGGUGCCGUAGGGAAGCCGUGAAGCGAGCCACCUGGGAGGUACGGCCGCAAGGCUGAAACUUAAAGGAAUUGGCGGGGGAGCAC